CAGCUUUGUUGUGCUGCUGCUUCCAGUUCUGCCGGCUCAGUGCCUUGUGACCGGGGCCGGUGGCUCCUCCAUAGAGGGCUCACAGGGGUCCUGCCCACUCAGUGCCUCUCACACCUCUGCACAAACCCUGGGUCUCAGCAGCCACAGGGUUCUGGCCUUCCUUGGGUGAGCCUGGACACCCACCCUCAUGCAGACAGGUUCAGAAUCUGGGAGGGGGUCCAGCCUCUUGUGCGCCCUACUGUCCCCCACACCUGAGGGGCACUCGGGAGACAGAGUACUGGGGGCAUGCUGUUGUCACCACGGCCUGCUGGGGUCAUGUCACAGCUCAGAGCCUUGGUCCCCCCAGCUGUAACGUUAGCAUGAGAAUGGGGACUCUGGCAGUCGAGGAACACCCACCCUCCCGCAGCCUGGCUGGGCAAGUGCUGGAUGGGGGUUGCAGUGGGACCCCAAAUCUUGAUCAGAU
rnacentral:lncRNA from 1 species